rnacentral:rRNA from 1 species
GGCUUAAUGAUAUUAAUUUUAGGUCUAUCUGCCCAAUGAUUUUAAAUUAAAUGGCUGCAGUAUAAUUGACUGUACAAAGGUAGCAUAAUAAAUUGUUUUUUAAUUAAAAACUAGAAUGAAAGAAUUAAUGAGAUAUAUACUGUCUCAUAUAUAUUUGAUUAAUUUAAAUUUUUAGUAAAAAUGCUAAAAUAAAUUUAUGGGACGAUAAGACCCUAUAGAAUUUUAUAUUAAUAUAUAAAUUAAAUUAUUUUAGAUAUUAAUAUUUAAUUGGGAGGAUUAAUAAAUUUAUUAAACUUUAUUUUAAAUAUAAACUUUGAUUAAAGAAUUUAUAAUGAUUAUGUAUUAUGAAUUAUGAGAAUAAAUUACCUUAGGGAUAACAGCGUAAUAUCUUUUUAAAGAUCAAAUUAAUAAAGAUGAUUGCGACCUCGAUGUUGAAUUAAGAUAAAUUUUAAAUGCAGAAGUUUAAUAAUUAAGUCUGUUCGACUUUUAAAAUCUU